rnacentral:rRNA from 1 species
GGGAUAACAUUCGGAAACGGAUGCUAAAACCGCAUAGGUCUUCGAACCGCAUGGUUUGAAGAGGAAAAGAGGCGCAAGCUUCUGCUGAUGGAUGGACCCGCGGUGCAUUAGCUAGUUGGUGAGGUAACGGCUCACCAAGGCCGUGAUGCAUAGCCGACCUGAGAGGGUGAUCGGCCACAUUGGGACUGAGAUACGGCCCAG